rnacentral:rRNA from 1 species
GACGAACGCUGGCGGCGUGCUUAACACAUGCAAGUCGAACGGAAAGGCCCUGCUUGCAGGGUCCCCGAGUGGUGAACGGGUGAGUAACACGCGGGUGAUCUGCCCUGCACUUCGGGAUAAGCCCGGGUAACUGGGUAUAAUACCGGACAGGAGACAUUUCUAGUGUGAUGGUUGGAAAGUUGUUUCGGUGUAGGAUGAGCGCGCGGCCUAUCAGGUUGUUGGUGGGGUAAUGGCCUACCAAGGCGGAGGCGGGAAGCCGGCCGGGGGGGGUGGACGGCCACAGUGAGACUGAGAUACAGACCAGACUCCGACGGGAGGCAGCAGUAGGGAAUAGUGCACAAUGGGCACAAGCCUGAUGCAGCUACGCCGCGUGGGGGAUGACGGCCUUCGGGUUGUAAUCGCAUUUCGCUAGGGACGGAGCUGUUAGUGACGGUACCUAGAUAAGAAGCUCCGGCUAACUACGUG